GUUGUCUGAGUUAAAGAUGAGCCGGAAUAACACACCUCCACCGCCGUGCUUGACAGGGUUCUGAUCACAGCAGAUGAAGGACUGAUCGGCUCCAUGAGGAGCUCUUCCUGGAAGUGUGUCUCUCUAAGGUGGACAGAUGGGAUAUUUCCAGGCGGAGCCCAGCAGAGGUCAAAGAGGAAACUCCCAGAGGAACCCGACACGUGUGCAGAGAAAACGGCCCAUUGUUCUGACAGGAGACUCGCUGCUUCUGUCCAUGGUGCUGAACUAUGAGGAGGCUGAAACUGGACCACUUCAGAGUGCGGGGGGGGGGGGG